UGUGUGUUGCCACCACGGCAGCUGUUAGCAUGUUUUAUCCUGCUGCCUGUCUAUACAGGGAUGGGUGAGUGUCUGGAGCCUCUGUGACAUCAUAGAGAUCAACACCCCUGACACACGCGCAUAGACAUAAAUAAUCAUGCAAACAAACACACUAUCCAUGUGCUUAUCAUAUGGUUUUGGUGAAGUUGAGUUGUGUCUGCAACUCAAAUAGGCUAAAGCUUUACCUUUCUCUCCGUCUCCAGGUGUGUCUUGCAACCAGUUGUGUAGGAAAGGGUCAAUGCACGUUAACGCCAUUUACACAACUGUUUUAUUUGCGCAAGUAUUAAAAAAGUGAAAUUGAAAAUAUAGGAAACUGUUCGCUGCAGACAUCGAUCAGUGGAGGCUGUUGAGGGGAACACGUUCUAGCUCAUAAUAAUGGCUCGAACGGAGCAAAUGGAAUGAUGUAUUUGAUACCAUUCCACUCAUUCUACUCCAGCCAUUACCACGAGCCCAUCCUCCCCAAUUAAGGUGCCACAACCUCCUGUGGCAUUGAUCAGCGCUGAACCACUUAUUUUGACUGAUACAUUCCAGCUUUCAACUCUUUAAAUGAAUAGCAUCAUGCUAAAUCAGCCUUGUUAGAGAAAUGUAUUCAUUUAGGGGGGAAUUACGGAACGUAAUUUUUAUGCACUUUCCUCUCUACGUGUAUUCUGACCAUGAAUUUAAGCAUGAUAAUAGUUCACACGCUUUUCGUUUGGGUUGGAGAUUUUUUUUUAAAUCAAGGUAUGGCGGAGGUGUGUCUAAUAAGGUCAAGCAACCCGUUGGUUCCAAGUGGAACAAACUGUAUUUUUCUGGUAGAAAUAUCACCAUUCUCCAUUGAUAUUGAUAAGAGCUAGGUAAAUGAGUAAGCCAUUUGGAUGAGGGGGAUUGUAAAUAUAAAUUACAAUUGUUUUAUACUGAACAAAAAUAUAAAUCGAACAUGCAACAAUUUCAAAGAUUUUGCUGAGUUACAGUUCAUAUAGGGAAAUCAGUCAAUUGAAAUAAAUUCAGGGGGUGCAGCCAUGGGAGGGCAUAGGCCCACCUACUUGGGAGCCAGGCCCACCCACUGGGGAGCAAGGCCAAGCCAAUCAGAAGGAGUUUGUGUCCCCAUAAAAGGGCUUUAUUACUGACAGAAAUUCUCCUCAGCACCCAGCAUGCUCACAGUAUGCUCACAGUGAUGAAAACACAUUUGUGCACAUCAUUUGAAGGAAAUAAGCUUUUUGUGUGUAUGGAACAUUUCUGAGAUCUUUUAUUUCAGUUCAUGGAACAUGCUACCAGCACUUUACAUGUUGAAUUUAUAUUGUUUCAGGAAACUAGGCGUAUGUCUCACGUUACAGGAGAAGCCUUUGAACGUAAACAUUUAUUUUUUAUCAAAAUGCAUUUUUUGGGGCAGAAAUGCCUUCUGGAACAUGUGAACUUUCAUGUGCCUCAAUAACAAACUUGCAUUCCGUCCAUAAAUAUGAAUAAAAUUGUUAAAUUAUGAGUCUAGUUGGUUUAGCUACAGAAAAAAUAAAGGAACCUUCCCACUAGCAUGAUUGGCUGAGAUAAUGGAUGGACCGGACAUUGCGGGGAGAUGAGUUUGUAUUGGUAUGCCAUGUCGCAUGCUUCUGUCUGUAACUUGAGCUGUUCAGUAUGUGUUGAUUGCCUUUUAUACUGUGCUGUUUUUGAAAGAUAUAACAUUAGCUUUCAAGAACUACAAAAGUGGGCCUCCCGAGUGGCCCAGCAACCAUGGCCGGGAUUCCAAUAGGACUGCACACAAUUGGCACAGCGUCAUCCGGGUUAGGGGAGGGUUUGGCCAGUGGGGCAUUUACUCGCCAGUUGUACGCGCUCUAGCAACUCCUUGUGGUGGGCCAGGUGCCUGCAGGCUGAUCCCAGUCGCCAGUUGUACGUUGUUUCCUCUGACACAUUAGUUAAGCUGGUGGGUGUGAAGGAGUGUGAUUUUUGUUUCGGAGUACGCAUGACUCCACCUUCACCUCUCCCGAGCCCAUUGGGGAGUUGCAGCAAUGAGACAAGAUUGAAAAUUGGGGGUAAAAAUAACAAAAAAAUAUUUGCUACUGUUCUCAACAACAUGAUGGGCUACUUUCUGCACACACCACGGUCAGUGUUAACACGCCACGGUCAGUUACUUGACAACGCUGGCUACAAACAAAACAGAGUUAAAUGGGUCCAGUCUGCCGUGAAACGUUCAUCCAUGCGUACAGUAAGAGUCGAGCUACAUUUUCAGAUAUAUACGUUUCAAAUUUAGUUAGAAAGUUGUUUUUAUUACAAGCUAAAGUGUACUGUUAGUUAGUGAAUGUUAACUUGCUGGCUCGCUAGCUAACGUUACAUGUAUGAUCUGUGUAGUAAUAUUAUUUGAAUCAGAAAUCCAAUUUGCAUUGCUAGUUAUAGCCUAAUGUUAGCUAGCUUUUGUUUAGUUUGUUCGCUUUUAGCUACCUGCAGAUUUGUACUACAGCUAUGACAAUGUAAGUUUUGGUGGUAGUAUGAGUUUGGAUUAUGCCGGUUCAUCGUUUAGCUAGCGACAUGUCUAAACAAAAGAUUCCACUUCGGCCGGAUUAUUACAUGACCCAUCCACUUAGCUAUAUGUGUCUAGGGGUGGUUAUGGUAUUUCCUUCACAUGACCCAUCAAUUUAGACAAGUGUCAGGUAAGCGGCAUCUAAAAAUGAUAAAUAUUUAUAAAAUAGUUAUCUGGACACUUCCUGCUUUUGAUAUUUUUACAUUUGGUCAUAAUCACCCCCAGACACACCUGGCUAAUUUGAUGGGUCAUGUAAUAGUAUUUUGUUUAGACAUAUAGCUAGCUACUAUGCAAGUAACCAUUUCAGUGUACUGUUUGCACCUUCUGUGCAUGUGACAAAUAAACAUACAUUUUAUUUGAUAUAGUGUGUGUUUACCACAUGGCCUCAAAUGUGAAUUCUUAAAGAGCCUAAGGCUUAAGAGCGUGUGAGCGAUGCAAGAAUGGGUGUAGAAAAAGAAGAGCUCUCCAGUAGGUGUACCAAAACUGUCAAGGGCCAUUUCUCAAGUGGGUUUAUCAACUCUCAAAUCAGAAUGACUUUCAAUUGCAGUGUACGACACACAAUUGUAUAGCUCGGAGUCUCUACUUUUAUCCAAUGUUAAAAACACACUUAAAAAUGUUGCUACAUAAGACUGAAUUGAGGCAGUCAGUCACGAAUGUGAAACCAGUCAUAUUUAUUUUUUAGGCAAGUCAGUUAAGAACAGAUUCUUAUUUACAAUGAUGGCCUAGGUUAACUGGGUGAACUGCCUUGAUCAGGGGCAGAACAACAGAUUUUCUUGUCAGCUCAGGGAUACAAUCUAGCAACCUUUUGGUUCCUGGCCCAAUGCUCUAACCACUGGGCUACCUGCAGCCCCAAAUGGCUGAAGCAUAUCAACAAAGCAUAUCAACAAAACACAGUAUAGCACCAAACCUACCAAGUAGAUUUAUGAUUUCUGGAAUGUUUUAAUUAUAAGCCCGGCCUUUGCACUGUAUUUUUUAGAAUUUAUAUUGUGUUAAAUAUUAGUCAUUAUCGGUAGCUGCCGUCAGUUAUACCCACACACAUGUAUAACUGUCACUGACUUGUGUUAGUUUCCUUAUAUUUUGCAUUUUUUCCAUUACAUCAUAAGUUUACCUUUCUUUCCUAUAUCACUGUUACGUUCUGACCUUUAUUUCCUUUGUUUUGUCAUUAUUUAGUAUGGUCAGGGCGUGAGUUGGGGUGGGCAGUCUGUUUUUCUAUGAUUUGGGUAUUUCUAUGUUUCGGCCUAGUAUGGUUCUCAAUCAGAGGCAGGUGUCAUUAGUUGUCUCUGAUUGAGAAUCAUACUUAGGUAGCCUGGGUUUCACUGUGUGAGUGACUCAUACAACAUCAAUUAUUGUAGGAAUAUGUUCCUGUCUCUGUGUUUGCACCAGAUAACCUCAAACCGUCCUUUCACGUUUCUUGUAUUCAGUUGUUCAUGUGUACAUUUACAUAUUAAAAGAACCAUGGACACUUACCACGCCGCAUAUUGGUGCUCUGAUCCUCUUCGGAAGAAGAGGAGAAAAUCCCUUACAAUCACGGUUGUGUAGUUGUUCCUGGGGGUUGCUAGCAGGAGGGAAACAUAGUUUUGACGUCUUCACUGUUAUUCUACAAUGUAUAAAAUAGUAAAAAUAAAGAAAUACCCUUGAAUGAGUAGGUGUGUCCAAACAUUUCACUGGUACUGUAUAUCACCCAUAUCGGUGGUCAUUUUAGGUCGUACCGGUAUGUCAAAUUAGCUCAAUCGACAACUUCUCAGUGUAACAGCGUCGGUGGAAGAAGGUGAGGACCAAAGCGCAGCGUGGUACUUGUUCAUGUUAUUUAUUUCAACUGAACACUAUCAAACAAAGAAACAAAAAGCCAACUGAAACAACUCUGUCAGGUGCAAAACACACUAAACAGAAAAUAAUCACCCACAACUCAAGGGUGAAAACAGGCUGCCUAAGUAUGGUUCUCAAUCAGGGACAACGAUUGACAGCUGCCUCUGAUUGAGAACCAUACCAGGCCAAACACAGAAAUACCAAGUCAUAGAAACAAGAACAUAGACUGCCCACCCAACUCACGCCCUGACCAUACUAAAACAAAGACAUCACAAAGGAACUAAGGUCAGAACUUGACAGUAACCCCCCCAAAGGUGCGGACUCCGGCCACAAAACCUGAACCUAUAGGGGAGGGUCUGGUGGGCGUCUGUCCGCGGUGGCCGCUCUGGCGCGGGACGUGGACCCCACUUCACCAUAGUCUUGCCCGCUUCCUUACCCGCUUCCGUGGCGUCUUUAGAGCGGUGACCCUCGCCGCCGACCUCGGACUGGGGACACUAGCAGCGGGCCCCGAAUGUCCGGCAGCUCCGGACAGACGGGAGACUCCGGCAGACGGGAGACUCUGGCAGCUCAGCACAGACGGGAGACUCUGGCAGCUCAGGACAGGAGGGAGCACCUGGAGGAAGGAGACAGAGACAGCCUGGUGCGUGGGGCUGCCACCGAAGGCCGGGUGCGUGGAGGAGGCACCGGAUAGACUGGACCGUGGAGGCACACUGGAGGUCUCGAGCACCGAGCCUGCACAACCCUACCUGGCUGGAUACUCCCUGUCGCCAGGCCAGUGCGGCGAGGUGGAACAGACCGCACUGGGCUGUGAUGGCGAACCGGGGACACCGUGCGUAGGGCUGGUGCCAUGUACCCCGGCCCAAGGAGUCUCACUGGAGACCAGAUGCGCUGAGCCGGCUUCAUGGCACCUGGCUCGAUGCCCUCUCUAGCCCGGCCGAUACGAGGCGCUGCGAUGUAACGCACCGGGCUAUGCCUGCGCACCGGGGACACCUCACGGCCUAACAUGGUGCCUGCCUCUCUCAAUGGUAAGCACAGGGAGUUGGCUCAGGUCUCCUACCUGACUUAGCCACCCUCCCCGUGUGUCCCCCCCAAUACAUUUUUAUUUCGCUGCCUCCAGCUCUGCCUUGGUGCGGCGAUAUUCCCCAGCCUGUGCCCAGGGUCUCUUGCCGUCUAAUAUCUCCUCCCAAGUCCAGUUCUCCAGGUAUCGCUGCCUCUCGUCACCACGCUGCUUGGUCCUUUCUUGGUGGGUGAUUCUGUAACGGUCGUCGGUGGAAGAAGAACAUCCUUAAUCUACGUCCAAGUCAUCGGAGCCCAGGGAACAGUUGUUGUGGGGGUUAACUGCCUUGUUCAAGGCGACAGAUUUAUCCACCUUGGGGUUCAAACAAGAAACCUUUCGGUUACUGUCCCAACGCUCAAACCGCUAGGCUACCUGCCACCCUAAUAGCAGUUAGCCUAACAAAUACUGUAGCCCUCUGGACUGCACUUAUUAAGCUUGUGAAUGGACAGAGAGGGUCUGGCAGCUGCCUUACGAAGGAGAGAGAGAGAGACACACACACACUAACAGCUCCUAAUGAGAUGCACAGUGUCAAUGGCCCUCCCUUUCUGAAGAGGGAAGAAGAAAAGGACUCUUUCUCUCUUUCUCACCCCUCUUCCACUCCGCUCUGUCUUCUAUGCCCUUCUCCCUCCAUCUCCUGGCCUACUCCCCAGCUAGCCAAGGCUUUUGUUCAGACGCCAGAUGAUAACCCAAAUGCCCCAGCGCAGCCGGCCUUUUCAGCCACGUUCACCAGUCUACCCUCGAGUCACAAGUCACCACAACUGGGCAGCUGAAUGCAUCACGUGACAACGGCAACCAUGGCAGGAUUCUGAUGAUGGCAGGGGUACUUGUAAUUGUUGUGGAUGUUGCAAGACAGGACUGUUCCAUUGGUGAUGAAAAUAUGUAUGAUUAGUUUGAUGUGGGCCUGAGACACUUUUUUAAAAGUAGAAGAUGUGUAGAGAGCAGCUUCUAAAAUACUUUUCUUUCAUGGUCAAGAAAUUGAUGCAUGUCAACCUGUUCAGCCUUGUGAGGACACAGAUGAACUUUGCUCAAGUUCUUAGCUACUUUAAUUAGCGCCCAAGCCCUCUGCAGGACAAGAAGAGAACUGCACAGCUGGUCUAAUUUUUAUCUCAUCCAACUCUUUAUGUACUGUACUUUAUGUAAGAUUAUAAACUGGGUGGUUCGAGCCCUGAAUGCUGAUUGGCUGAAAGUUGUGGUAUAUCAGACUGUAUACCAUGUAUACCUUUUCAUUGCUCAAAUUAUUUUGGCAACCAGUUUAUAAUAGCAAUAAGGUACCAGGGGGUUUGUGACAUGUGGCCAUAUAUCACACCCCCUCGGGCCUUAUUGCUGAAAGAUAACCUGAUACAACAUGUUUUGUGAAUAAAUAACAUGAAUUAAAAAGUAGGCGGAGUCUGGUUAAGUUUGAGUCUCUCUGCGGCUGGUUUCUCUCUGAAGCUGCUCUAUAGGGAGCAGAGGAGAAAGUCCUGACCUGGUCAUCAGCUAAGACAGCUCUCUAUUCUAAAGACCAUGGAUCUUUUUGCCUGUUGGCUAAUAUAAGGAAUCCGUUGAAAGUAGAGUUUUGAUUUUGUCAUUGCAUUGGCGACUAUCUGUUAAAUUGAUGAGUCAUCCUAUCAUCCCUUAUCGUAAAACAUAUUUUUUCAAAUAAAAAAUAACAUUAAUAAUCUGAUUUAAUUGAUAAAUGUUAAGACAACAUGUUAUAAAUUCAAAACUGUCGAUACUACACUGACCAGAUUCUCCCUGCAUUCUCCUGACUGGUCUUUCUUAACUGGACAUUUUGCCAAUAUCUAUCUAUUGGUUGGUCUCUUUGCAGUUACAGUAGCUACUCUAUCUUGACUGAUCCCUCUUGUGGCACGUCUCUGUCAGUUCCUACCCUGUGUAACUAGUCUCUCUCUAUAGCUGGAUGUGUUGUGGAGCUCCAUUGGUCACACUGUCCAAACUGUUUUCUUUAUUUUCACCUUUAUUUAACCAGGUAGGCUAGUUGAGAACAAGUUCUCAUUUACAUCUGCGACCUGGCCAAGAUAAAGCAAAGCAGAGCGACACAAACAACACAGAGUUACACAUGGAGCAAACAAAACAUACAGUCAAUAACACAAUAGAAAAUAAGUAUAUAUAGAGGCAAUAAAUAGGCCAUAGUGGUGAAAAAAUUACAAUUUAGCAAUUAAACACUGGAGUGAGCGACUGGAGUGAUAGAUGUGCAGAAGAUGAAUGUGCAAGUAGAGAUACUGGGGUGCGAAGGAGCAAGAAAAAUUUAAAUAACAAUAUGGGGUGAGGAAGUUGGAUGGGCUAUUUACAGAUGGGCGAUGUACAGGUGCAUUGAUCUGUGAGCUGCUCUGACAGCUGGUGCUUAAAGUUAGUGAGGGAGAUAUGAGUCUCCAGCUUCAUUGAUUUUUGCAAUUCGUUCCAGUCAUUGGCAGCAGAGAACUGGAAGGAAAGGCGGCCAAAGGAGAAUUUGCUUUGGGGGUGACCAGUGAAAUAUACUUGCUGGAGCGCGUGCUACGGGUGGGUGCUGCUAUGGUGACCAGUGAGCUGAGAUAAGGCGGGGCUUUACCUAGCAAAGACUUAUAGAUGACCUGGAGCCAGUGGGUUUGGCGGCGAAUAUGAAGCGAGGGCCAGCCAGCGAGAGCAUACAGGUCGCAGUGGUGGGUAGUAUAAGGGGAUUUGGUGACAAAAUGGAUGGCACUGUGAUAGACUGCAUCCAAUUUGCUGAGUAGAUGACAUCGUCGAAGUCAAGGAUCGGUAGGAUAGUCCGUUUUACGAGGGUUUGUUUGGCAGCAUGAGUGAAGGAUGCUUUAUUGCGAAAUAGGAAGCCCAUUUAAUUUUGAAUUGGAGGUGCUUAAUGUGGGUCUGGAAGCAGAGUUCACAGUCUAACCAGACACCAAGGUAUUUGUAGAUGUCCACAUAUUUUGAGUCAGAACCGUCCAGAGUAGUGAUGUUGGACGGGCGGGCAGGUGCUUGUAGCGAUUGGUUGAAGAGCAUGCAUUUAGUUUUACUCGUAUUUAAGAGCAGUUGGAGGCCACUGAAGGAGAAUUGUAUGGUAUUGAAACUCGUCUGGACGUUAGUUAACACAGUGUCCAAAGAAGGGCCAGAAGUAUACAGAAUGGUGUCGUCUAGAUAGAGGUGGAUCAGAGAAUCACCAGCAGCAAGAGCGACAUCAUUGAUGUAUACAGAGAAAAGAGUCGGCCUGAGAAUUGAACCCUGUGGCACCCCCAUAGAGACUGCCAGAGGUCCGGACAACAGGCCCUCCGAUUUGACACACUGAACUCUGUCUGAGAAGUAGUUGUUGAACCUGGCAUGGCAGUCAUUUGAGAAACCAAUGCUGUUGAGUCUGCCGAUAAGAAUGUGGUGAUUGACAGAGUCAAACAAGGCAAAGUUUGUGCGAUAAGGAGAGGUCGAACAGAGGGGCCUAUUCACCAGCCCAGACCCCAUCCGCACAACACGUGUGCAAACACACACAUAGAGAUAGAGGAGGGAAGAGAGAGAAAGAUGGGGAGAGAGAGAAGAUGCAAGAGAGGGCAGUGAGGGUGCGUAGUAUGCUUUGUCCUGACAAGCCCUCUUAGCGUAAUAGAGAGAAAGAGGGAAAGAGAGAGACAGACAAGAGAGUGUUUUGUGUCUGUGUGUCUGUCUGUCUGUCUGUCUGUCUGUCUGUCUGUCUGUCUGUCUGUCUGUCUGUCUGUCUGUCUGUCUGUCUGUCUGUCUGUCUGUCUGUCUGUCUCUGUCUGUCUGUCUGUCUGUCUGUCUGUCUGUUUGUUUGUCUGUCUGUCUGUCUGUCUGUCUGUCUGUCUGUCUCUG